rnacentral:rRNA from 1 species
AGCAGCCGCGGUAAUUCCAGCUCCAAUAGCGUAUAUUAAAGUUGUUGCAGUUAAAAAGCUCGUAGUUGAAUUUCGGGAUCAAAGGAUCGGUCAUGCCUUGGUAUGUACUGGUUUUAUUGGUUCUCACCUUCUAAAGAACCAUAAUGUCAUUCAUUUUGAUGUUAUGAGGAAUUAGGACUGUUACCUUGAAAAAAUUAGAGUGUUUAAAGCAGGCUCACGCUUGAACACAUUAGCAUGGAAUAAUGGAAUAGGACGUUUGAUUCUAUUUUGUUGGUUUCUAGGAUCGACGUAAUGAUUAAUAGGGAUAGUUGGGGGCAUUAGUAUUCAAUUGUCAGAGGUGAAAUUCUUGGAUUUAUUGAAGACUAACUACUGCGAAAGCAUUUGCCAAGGAUGUUCCAUUAAUCAAGAACGAAAGUUAGGGAUCGAAGACGAUCAGAUACCGUCGUAGUC